rnacentral:rRNA from 1 species
GGGUGACAGCCCCGUACACAAAAAUGCACAUAUUGUGAGCUCGAUGAGUAGGGCGGGACACGUGGUAUCCUGUCUGAAUAUGGGGGGACCAUCCUCCAAGGCUAAAUACUCCUGACUGACCGAUAGUGAACCAGUACCGUGAGGGAAAGGCGAAAAGAACCCCGGCGAGGGGAGUGAAAAAGAACCUGAAACCGUGUACGUACAAGCAGUGGGAGCACGCUUAGGCGUGUGACUGCGUACCUUUUGUAUAAUGGGUCAGCGACUUAUAUUCUGUAGCAAGGUUAACCGAAUAGGGGAGCCGAAGGGAAACCGAGUCUUAACUGGGCGUUAAGUUGCAGGGUAUAGACCCGAAACCCGGUGAUCUAGCCAUGGGCAGGUUGAAGGUUGGGUAACACUAACUGGAGGACCGAACCGACUAAUGUUGAAAAAUUAGCGGAUGACUUGUGGCUGGGGGUGAAAGGCCAAUCAAACCGGGAGAUAGCUGGUUCUCCCCGAAAGCUAUUUAGGUAGCGCCUCGUGAAUUCAUCUCCGGGGGUAGAGCACUGUUUCGGCAAGGGGGUCAUCCCGACUUACCAACCCGAUGCAAACUGCGAAUACCGGAGAAUGUUAUCACGGGAGACACACGGCGGGUGCUAACGUCCGUCGUGAAGAGGGAAACAACCCAGACCGCCAGCUAAGGUCCCAAAGUCAUGGUUAAGUGGGAAACGAUGUGGGAAGGCCCAGACAGCCAGGAUGUUGGCUUAGAAGCAGCCAUCAUUUAAAGAAAGCGUAAUAGCUCACUGGUCGAGUCGGCCUGCGCGGAAGAUGUAACGGGGCUAAACCAUG